CGUUUAGGGGUAAACCUAAGAAACCCGAAAGGUCGAAGGAAGAAAUUCAUUCGUGUUUCGUCAUUUGACAUAUAUAUUUAUAUGUUUGACAAUGUUUGAUUGUGGGUUGUUGUAAAAUAAAUUUUAUAAUGCCCUUAUUGAAUAUUGCGUAUAUUGUAUGUGUAUCACAAUGAUGAACGCGUGCAUUUUUCUUCUGGUAGGACGUUGCGAUCCGUUAGGAUAAGAUUAUAUAUUAUCGAUCUAUGUUUUACAGUAAAGUUCAUUAAUACAUAUAUAAUAUUUAUUUUAUAUGAUAAUAUUGAUGAUGCUGUAUGUACUGAUCGAUUUGUCUGACGGUAUAGAAAAUGGUUAAGAGUCGCUAAUAAUAUUUAGCGUUAGAGGUUAAACAAGUGUAAAUAUUGUGUAAAAUACUUUAUUAUUGUUCUACGGAAUAAUGAUAUAGGUAUAUUCGGUAAUCGAUAUUUUAUAUUAAUUCCGAGCCGUUUUUAUACUGUUAGUUUAGCAUUAAAAUCUCUAACUGACUUUAUUAUUAUAUUAGUUUAUAAUGAAGAAACCAAUCUGCAACGCUAUAGCUUUGGGUACUUUUAGGACCCGUCUUGAAACACGGACCAAGGAGUCUAGCAUAUACGCAAGCCAUUGGGAUUACUAAACCUAUAGGCUUAAUGAAAGUAAAAAUUAUUAUAUAUUUAUAUAUAGUUUAAGGAAGAUGAUUAAUAAUUUAUUAAAUAAGUUAUUAUUUCGCAUUCCUGGGGCGUUUAAAUUUUGUUUUCUUGUUCUUCAAUUAAAUGAGAUUAUGCGCACCAAGAGUGUAUACGCUGGGACCCGAAAGAUGGUGAACUAUGCCUGGUCAGGACGAAGUCAGGGGAAACCCUGAUGGAGGUCCGUAGCGAUUCUGACGUGCAAAUCGAUCGUCGGAACUGGGUAUAGGGCGAAAGACUAAUCGAACCAUC
rnacentral:rRNA from 1 species